rfam:Trichomalopsis sarcophagae strain Alberta scaffold26275, whole genome shotgun sequence.
AAAUCGGCCCUUUUCAGGGCCAAAGAAAUGUAUAUAUAUACAUAAU